rnacentral:rRNA from 1 species
UACGUAGGGUGCAAGCGUUAAUCGGAAUUACUGGGCGUAAAGCGUGCGCAGGCGGCUUUGCAAGACAGAUGUGAAAUCCCCGGGCUUAACCUGGGAACUGCAUUCGAGACUGUGUAGCUAGGGUACGGAAGAGGGAAGCGGAAUUUCAGGUGUAGCGGUGAAAUGCGUAGAUAUCUGAAGGAACACCAGUGGCGAAAGCGGCUUCCUGGUCCAGUACCGACGUUCAGGCACGAAAGCGUGGGGAGCAAACAGG